rnacentral:rRNA from 1 species
AUUGAACGCUGGCGGUAUGCUUAAGACAUGCAAGUCGUGCGGUAGGGGCUUCGGCCCUGAGAGCGGCGGACGGGUGAGUAACACGUGGGAAUCUGCCUAGUAGAGGGGGACAGCCCAGCGAAAGCUGGAUUAAUACCGCAUACGCCUACGGGAAGCGCAGGCGCUAUUAGAUGAGCUCGCGUAAGAUUAGCUAGUUGGUAGGGUAAAGGCCUACCAAGGCGACGAUCUUUAGCUGGUUUGAGAGAAUGACCAGCCACAUCGGGACUGAGACACGGCCCGGACUCCUACGGGAGGCAGCAGUCGGGAAUAUUGGACAAUGGGCGCAAGCCUGAUCCAGCCAUGCCGCGUGAGUGACGAAGGCCUUAGGGUUGUAAAGCUCUUUUGGCGGGGAAGAUAAUGACGGUACCGCAGAAUAAGCUCCGGCUAACUUCGUGCCAGCAGCCGCGGUAAAGUGACGCUCUU